rnacentral:rRNA from 1 species
UUAGAUCGUACCCACACUUACUUGGAUAACUGUGGUAAUUCUAGAGCUAAUACAUGCAAACAGAGCUCCAACCGGAGACGGAAGGAGCGCUUUUAUUAGAUCAAAACCGAUCGGUGGUGGAUUUAUCCAUCAUCGUACAAUUUGGUGAAUCUGAAUAACUUUAAGCUGAUCGCACGGUCUCGCACCGGCGACGCAUCUUUCAAAUGUCUGCCUUAUCAACUGUCGAUGGUAGGUUCUGCGCCUACCAUGGUUGUAACGGGUAACGGGGAAUCAGGGUUCGAUUCCGGAGAGGGAGCCUGAGAAACGGCUACCACAUCCAAGGAAGGCAGCAGGCGCGCAAAUUACCCACUCCCGGCACGGGGAGGUAGUGACGAAAAAUAACGAUACGGGACUCAUCCGAGGCCCCGUAAUCGGAAUGAGUACACUCUAAACCCUUUAACGAGGAUCAAUUGGAGGGCAAGUCUGGUGCCAGCAGCCGCGGUAAUUCCAGCUCCAAUAGCGUAUAUUAAAGUUGUUGCGGUUAAAAAGCUCGUAGUCGAAUCUGUGUCUCGCACCGCCGGUUCAUCGUUCGCGGUGUUAACUGGCGUGCCGUGGGACGUCCUGCCGGUGGGCUUAGCUCGAAAGAGCGGUCCAAAUUAAUCCUGCCGCGGUGCUCUUCAUUGAGUGUCGAGGUGGGCCGGCACGUUUACUUUGAACAAAUUAGAGUGCUUAAAGCAGGCUAAAUUUCGCCUGAAUACUGUGUGCAUGGAAUAAUGGAAUAGGACCUCGGUUCUAUUUUGUUGGUUUUCGGAACUCCGAGGUAAUGAUUAAUAGGAACGGAUGGGGGCAUUC